CGAGCACGCGCGUGUGGCAUAUCAAUAAGCGGAGGAAAAGGAACUAACAAGGAUUCCCUAGUAACGGCGAGUGAAGCGGGAAGAGCUCAAAUUUGAAAUCUUCAAGGUUCUACCUUGACGAUUUGUAGUUUAUAGAAGUGUUUUCUGUUAGUGGAGUGGCAAAAGUUCUUUGGAAUAGGACAUCAUAGAGGGUGAGAAUCCCGUAUUUGGUCAUUCCUCCUAGCGUUGUGAUACACUUUCAACGAGUCGGAUUGUUUGGGAAUGCGGUCCAAAAUGGGUGGUAAAUUUCAUCUAAAGCUAAAUAUUGGCGAGAGACCGAUAGCGAACAAGUACCGUGAGGGAAAGAUGAAAAGAACUUUGAAAAGAGAGUUAAACAGUACGUGAAAUUGUCAAAAGGGAAGCGUUUGACACCAGUGUUGUUUUUCCGAAAAUCAAUCACGAAUGUUUUGUUUUUAAGGAGUUAUGACUUCAUCGGCUUGCUUCUUUCUUUACGAAACUUUCUUAAUGCACUUUUCGGUUAACAAGUCAACAUCAAUUUCUUUUGUUGUAAAAGGGUAUGAGGAAGGUGGCUUUCUUUUCGGAGAAAGUGUUUAUAGCCUUGUGCCUCUGCAAUCGGAGAGAUUGAGGUCUGCAGCGUAGAUCCUUCGGGGUUAGAUACGUUUGUGCUAAGUUAUAGCUUUUCAUAGACAACUUGUUGACUAUGUUAAGUCUUGUAGCUUACUCGCUGAUGCUAUUUUACCUACGCUUAGGAUGUUGAGUAGCGACAUACGCAC
rnacentral:rRNA from 1 species